rnacentral:rRNA from 1 species
AUUGAACGCUGGCGGCAUGCUUUACACAUGCAAGUCGAACGGUAACAGGGUGCUUGCACCGCUGACGAGUGGCGAACGGGUGAGUAAUGCGUCGGAACGUGCCGAGUAGUGGGGGAUAACGCAGCGAAAGUUGUGCUAAUACCGCAUACGUACUGAAGUCGAAAGUGGGGGACUUUCGGUUCUCACGCUAUUUGCGGCGCAGGCGUCUGAUCAGCUAGUAGGUGAGGUAAAGGCUCACCUAGGCGACGAUCAGUAGCGGGUCGGAGAGGGUGAUCCGCAACACUGGGACGGAGACACGGCCCAGACUCCUACGGGAGGAAGCAGUGGGAAAUUUUGGACAAUGGGCGAAGGCCUGAUCCAGCAAUGCCGCGUGUGUGAAGAAGGCCUUCGGGUUGUAAAGCACUUUUGUCCGGAAAGAAAUGGCUCUGGUUAAUACCUGGGGUCGAUGACGGUACCGGAAGAAUAAGGACCGGCUAACUACGUGCCAGCCGCCGCCGUAACAC